GCCCCCUUAGCUCAGGGGAUAGAGCACCGGCCUCCGGAGCCGGGAGCGCAAGUUCGAAUCUUGCAGGGGGCACCA
rnacentral:tRNA from 25 species